UUCCCCACCCCCGGUAACUACUGUUCUACUUUGAGCUUCUACACAUUUAAUUUUUUAAAGAGUCCCCCUAUAAGGGAAAUCAUGCAGCAUUUUUUCUUUCUGUAUCUGGCUUAUCUCACUUAGCAUAAUAUCCUUCGGGUUGAUCUAGGUUGUCACAAAUGGGAGGAUCUCCUUUUUUUAAAGCCAAGUAAUAUUUCAUUGUAUGUAUAUACCAUAAUAUCUUUGUCCAUUCAUGCCUCGACAAACACUUAGGCUGUUUCUCUAUGUCACCAGGUUCUUUUGCCUGAUGUGCAGCAAGCCAAAUGCUGAGACACUGAGGUUUGCAGCAGGGAAGGGUUUAUUGAUGAGACAGCCAAGUGAGGAGAACAAAUCUCAAAUCCACAUCCUCCAAGGAUAGAGGCACAAGGUGAAAUAGUUACCUAAUCUGGUCUUGAAGAUGUGUCCCUGUGUUAGAGCAUCCAUCUGCAGCCUGCAUGUGCCCAGCGGGUUUGGUGUGAGAGCUGGAUCUGAAGUAAGCAGGGGUCAUGUCUUCUUUUGGGGUGUGCUGGCAGCUGCUGCCUUGGUGGGAGGUAGGCUGGAGUCUGAAGAGCUAGAGCCGAAGCUAAGUGUGAGCUUUGGCUUCUCUUAGCCUCAAUAGUGGUCACAGCCCUAUCACGUGUGACUCUGGGGCCCAAGGGUCUGGAGCAGGAGCCUUGAUGGAGUUGAGCUUCCCAGUGUGAUGGCAGUCUCUGCCUUGGUUGGGGGCAUGGCUGGGGCCAGAGGGCUUGGGGCUACACUUCUGUGCCAGUUCUUUUUCCCCUGGUGCGGAUGCCUUGGAUGUAGUAGGGUGGGGUGGAAAGGUUGGAGCUGCACUGCUGAGCUGUCUCUGCUCCUUCUCUGUUGCAUGCAUGCAUACGUGUAAUGGCAGCAAUGGCAGUUUCUACCCUGGCUAGAGGCAGGGCCUGGGCUGGCUCUGCUUCUCCCUCCAUGUGCACACACAUGUCCAUACUGGUAGUGCUGAGCUCCACUCUGGCUUGUGGCGGGGCCUGGCUGAACCAGCUCUGCUCCUUCUGGGGUGCACAUGUGUACCAGCAAUUGUGGUCUCUGCUCUGGCUAGAGGCAAAGCUUGGGGCCUGACCUGGCUCUGCUCUUUGGUAAAUGUGUGUACAUUGGUCAUGGUGGCUUCCUCCUUAGUGGGGACUGCUAGAGCAGGAGCCUGGUGUGGGCCGAUGGAUGUGCUGGAGGUUAUCCUGGUAGGUUGUCCAGAGCACCAAGCAAUUUUCUAUCUGCUACCUCUAUGCUAGAACCAGGAGCAAGCAAGCCUGUGCACAAACUCUUCAAGAGCAGAACCUUAAGUUUCUGAUAGCCUUCUAGUAAGCCCCUCCUGGUUUUAAAACCAGAUAUGGGGGUUCAUCUUCCUGGUGUUGGACUCUAAGGCUGGGUUGCCUAAUACGUAGCUCAAACCCCUUAACCCCCAGCGAGGAAACCGGGCUAUCACCAUCCUCUCUGGGUGCGGGUCCUUACUAGAUUGCUUCUCCUCUGCUGUCAUACUCCAUGUGGUUCUUUCUUUACAGCCUUGAUUGUGGAAGAGUCAUUCUUCUAGUCUUCAAGUCAUUAUCAGUGAGAGUCGUUCUAUAUGUAUUUGUAGUUCUGAUGUGUUUGUUGGGGGAGGUGAGCUCCAGGUCUUCCUACUCUGCCAUAUUGAUUCUGGCUCACCAAAUAAAGAGUUAAACUAGAUAUUAUAAGUAUUUUCUAUGAAGUAAAGGAAAAUAUGCAGCAGUGAAUAAAGUUGUAGAAAACCUCAGCAGAAAAUU